rnacentral:rRNA from 1 species
CUACGGGUCGCACCAGUGGGGAAUAUUGCACAAUGGGCGAAAGCCUGAUGCAGCGACGCCGCGUGAGCGAAGAAGUAUUUCGGUAUGUAAAGCUCUAUCAGCAGGGAAGAUAAUGACGGUACCUGACUAAGAAGCACCGGCUAAAUACGUGCCAGCAGCCGCGGUAAUACGUAUGGUGCAAGCGUUAUCCGGAUUUACUGGGUGUAAAGGGAGCGCAGGCGGUACGGCAAGUCUGAUGUGAAAGCCCGGGGCUCAACCCCGGUACUGCAUUGGAAACUGUCGAACUAGAGUGUCGGAGGGGUAAGCGGAAUUCCUAGUGUAGCGGUGAAAUGCGUAGAUAUUAGGAGGAACACCAGUGGCGAAGGCGGCUUACUGGACGAUCACUGACGCUGAGGCUCGAAAGCGUGGGGAGCAAACAGGAUUAGAUACCCUCGUAGUC